AGAUACACUACACGGAAAAAUUGAGUUAUGCAUAAAAUGUAUUGCAAUUACACUUUCAUUUUAUCUAAUCCGUUGUUGUUCAAAAUUUGUAUAACCCCGAUUCAAAUCUGAGUAGUUUUAGGUAGUCAAUAUGCAGAUGUGAACUAAAAUUCAAUUAUUCAUCUCUGUAUAAAAUGUUGUUGUUGUUGGAAUCCAUUCAAAGGGAUGUCAAAGCGAAAAAAAGAAAAAAUAUUUAAACUUUUGGAUGGUUACGGAGGAACAAUCCAACCAUUUUUUCCUCAAAGAAACUGUAAAUUGAUAACAAGUUAAACAAAAUUUAUUUUUGUUAGCUGGAUAUGUAGCUUCUCUUCAUCUAAGCUUCGGAAACUGGUGAGUAGAUGUAUAAUUUCUUCGAACACUUUCAUUUUCUUUAUUAUUUUCAUGUAGUGCUCAGAUGUUAUUGAUUUGGAAGAAGAAAAAUCUCUACCCCGGAGCUGUUCCAUAUGCAUAAGAAAACAAGAAAGGGAGUGCAAGAUAAGGUUAUCCCGUUUUACUUGAGCUGCAGCUAGACGGCUGCUCCCGAUGAUUCAGUGAGAUAAAUAAAAAUAUUGAAUGCAAUAAUUGAAUUACUCAAAGCUAUCCGUUAUGUUUUUAGUGCAUCCACUGGAAGAACCUGGGUGUUCAAGGACAUUGAAAAAUAUGCGACGGUCCGAGGUCGCAGUGAAAAAGUGGACGGCCGAAACCGUACAGAAAAAGUCCUGAAAUAGGUGGUUCGAGUCGAACUCUACAAUCUAGAGGAAUACAUCCAGGAGGAAUCAGUCAGAAACAUCCCGGUUCGAGUAAACAUGACAAGGAGCUGCUAAAAAAGAGAGUCCUGUGAGGACAGCAGAAAACAGCAUUGGAAUCUGCUGACAGCGGAAGCUUGUAGGACAGGAAAAGAGGCUUUCAAUAGAAAUUUUUCAAAAGCACGAAUGUUUGAAAGUGCGAACCAGUGCUGAGGAAGCGCAGACACUGCAGAACAUGCUGGGGAACUACCUGGACCAUGAGAUAGUGGGUCUGAAUGGAAAAAUUCUCGGAGCCUAUCCAGUUGAACCUUCGGUAGAUGUGCAUCAAAAAGUCCUACCAAAAGCUUGAGGGAACAGCCGUUUAAUUCUAAAAGAUUCUUCGUUCCCCUCUGGGAUGGGCAGCAUAGACGUAAUCAGUACCGGAUGUUGGAUGUUCCAUGUUGGUUGAGCCAUGAUAGUUAUUCA